rnacentral:rRNA from 1 species
UUCGCAAUGCCCGAAAGGGUGACGAAGCGACGCCGCGUGUGGGAAGAAGGCCUUCGGGUUGUAAACCACUGUCGGGAGUUAAGAAAUGCAAGGAUAUGAAUAGUGUCUUUGCUUGACUAAGGCUCCGGAGGAAGCCACGGCUAACUCUGUGCCAGCAGCCGCGGUAAUACAGAGGCGGCAAGCGUUGUUCGGAAUUAUUGGGCGUAAAGAGCACGUAGGCGGCUAUGUAAGUCGGUUGUGAAAGCCUUCCGCUCAACGGGAGAACAGCAUCCGAUACUACAUGGCUUGAGUGCGGGAGGGGAGAGUGGAACUUCUGGUGGAGCGGUGAAAUGCGUAGAUAUCAGAAGGAACGCCGGCGGCGAAAGCGGCUCUCUGGCCCACAACUGACGCUGAGUGUGCGAAAGCUAGGGGAGCAAACGGGAUUAGAUACCCCGGUAGUCCUAGCCGUAAACGAUGGGCACUAAGUAGAGGGGUUUU